ensembl:lncRNA
CUCGGUGUCAGUUCUACCCAGAGAGAGACAACACAAAUCUAAAACUCUCUCCAUCAUGUCAGCUCUCAGUCACUGGUUCUGAACUGAUCAGGUGGACAGGACGAAGUUCUCCUGGAACACUUCAUAUUACUUGUUUCUACACUGUGGAUAACUCUGUUCGUACUCCUUCUCCUCACUCUCUCCCAGCUCCAGUCACAGUGCUGAAUCAGAAACCGAGACUAAGCGUCAGUCAUGAUGGUCAGUUUGAUGUAUUCAGAUUUGUGUGUGAAAUAUCAGGGUCAGAGUCAGUAACUGCUGAUUUUAGCUGUAAUCUCUACACUGGAGAAAAUCCUCAGCUUUUCCUAAUCCAAAGAUCUCAAAAGAGAAAAUCUGUGAAGGUUUGUAGUUUUACAGCACAGAGAGACGCUGUGUUUAAUCGUCUGCAGUCAGUAAAGAGUCG